rnacentral:lncRNA from 1 species
CACUGAAUUAGAAAUUCAGAUGGUCUGGUACUAAAAUAUAGUGAGUUAUUUACAAGUUACUGUAGUAAUCUCAGGUUUGAGAGAUACUUAUACCCAUAUCCUUUAUGAGCUACUCUUGACAACAGAGUGCUCGACAAAUGGUCACAUUCGAUGCGAAUAUACUUCUACAUUCUAUCUGCAUGGCAUAACAGUCUCUUCACACUCUUUGUUUAAGAGGAC